UACGGAGGAUGCGAGCGUUAUCCGGAUUUAUUGGGUUUAAAGGGUGCGUAGGCGGAUUUGUAAGUCAGCGGUAAAAAUGCGGUGCUCAACGCCGUAUCGCCGUUGAAACUGCGGGUCUUGAGUGAGCGAGAAGUAUGCGGAGCGCGUGGUGUAGCGGUGAAAUGCAUAGAUAUCACGCAGAACCCCGAUUGCGAAGGCAGCAUACCGGCGCCCGACUGACGCUGAAGCACGAAAGCGUGGGGAGCAAAUAGG
rnacentral:rRNA from 1 species